UCUAAAAUGACAGAAUAGUGUAAUAGAUUUAAAUCCUAUAAAUGUAAUUUAUUAAUUACUUUUAGAA
rnacentral:tRNA from 1 species